rnacentral:rRNA from 1 species
ACGCACGCUGGCGGCGUGCUUCACCCCUGCCAGUCGCACGGAAAGGCCCUGCUUUUGUGGGGUGCUCGAGUGGCGAACGGGUAAGUAAUACGUGAGUAACCUGCCCUUGACUUUGGGAUAACUUCAGGAAACUGGGGCUAAUACCGGAUAGGAGCUCCUGCUGCAUGGUGGGGGUUGGAAAGUUUCGGCGGUUGGGGAUGGACUCGCGGCUUAUCAGCUUGUUGGUGGGGUAGUGGCUUACCAAGGCUUUGACGGGUAGCCGGCCUGAGAGGGUGACCGGCCACAUUGGGACUGAGAUACGGCCCAGACUCCUACGGGAGGCAGCAGUGGGGAAUAUUGCACAAUGGGCGGAAGCCUGAUGCAGCAACGCCGCGUGCGGGAUGACGGCCUUCGGGUUGUAAACCGCUUUCGCCUGUGACGAAGCGUGAGUGACGGUAAUGGGUAAAGAAGCACCGGCUAACUACGUG